rnacentral:rRNA from 1 species
UACGGAGGGGGCUAGCGUUGUUCGGAAUCAUUGGGCGUAAAGGGCGCGUAGGCGGCCACGCAAGUCGGAUGUGAAAUCCCUCGGCUCAACCGAGGAACUGCACCCGAAACUGCGAGGCUCGAGUCCUGGAGAGGGUAGUGGAAUUCCCAGUGUAGCGGUGAAAUGCGUAGAUACUGGGAGGAACACCGGUGGCGAAGGCGGCUACCUGGACAGGUACUGACGCUGAUGCGCGAAAGCUAGGGGAGCGAACGGG